GGGGAAUAUUGCACAAUGGAGGGAACUCUGAUGCAGCGACGCCGCGUGAACGAAGAAGGCUUUCGAGUCGUAAAGUUCUUUUAUAUGGGAAGAUAAUGACGGUACCAUAAGAAAAAGCCCCGGCUAACUACGUGCCAGCAGCCGCGGUAAUACGUAGGGGGCUAGCGUUGUCCGGAAUCACUGGGCGUAAAGGGUUCGCAGGCGGAAAUGCAAGUCAGAUGUAAAAGGCAGUAGCUUAACUACUGUAAGCAUUUGAAACUGCAUAUCUUGAGAAGAGUAGAGGUAAGUGGAAUUUUUAGUGUAGCGGUGAAAUGCGUAGAUAUUAAAAAGAAUACCGGUGGCGAAGGCGACUUACUGGGCUCAUUCUGGCGCUGAGGAACGAAAGCGUGGGUAGCAAACAGGAUUAGAUACCCUGGUAGUCCACGCUGUAAACGAUGAGUGCUAGGUGUCGGCGAAUGUCGGUGCCGCAGUUAACACAAUAAGCACUCCGCCUGGGGAGUACGUGCGCAAGCAUG
rnacentral:rRNA from 1 species